ACAAUGUCAUCAGCGUAAUGAGGAGUAAACAUUUAUGCUAAUAAUCUACAAUUUUUUUCCCCAUCGGCUAUAAAGAGGGGAAAUAAAGCUGAGAAUUUCAGUCAUAUUCGGAACUCCGAGGAUAUAGCUUGGACUGAGGCAUUUAGCGGGAUUUACGCGUCGAUCUAGUGUCUGUUUCUGCAGGAUGCUCCUGCUCAUCUGCCUGCAAGUGGAUCCAGAGAAAGGGGCUUCAGUUCCCUUAUGAAAGACAAUCAGCUCCUGGGUCAAGUUCAGGAAAUCCAAACUGGUCUUUGUUUUUGGUCUGUAAAUGAAAGAGAAACCUCAAGAAUGACGUUUUUUGUGAAUUGUUUACUGUUAAAAUGUGUGUAAAUAAUAAUAGAGAAAGAAGGGGAAGAGUUUUGAUUAUUAGCACAGAAAAGCUUGGAAGUUUCUAAUUCUUUUUUCCAUCCCAGAGUUCAGAGCCUCUUUCUCCUCAGAAAGCAGGGCGCGCUUUGAGGAAAAGCCCCCGGUGAACUGGUAGAGAUGCUGUCCCCAUUACAGCAGCAGCAGGGGUCAGGCCAAGGCGUCCAGCAUCCAAGCUGCCCAAAAUUGGCGGUAAAAUGACCAAUUACCUGAGUGAAGGCUGGGUAGAAAGGACCUAGAAAAAAAUGUGGCUUUUACUUAAUUCAGCUAAACUGUAAAAGAAACUAGAGUCUCCCUGAUGCCUCACGCUCAAUCCACGUUACAGCAUUCCACCUGUUACACGAAAAAGUCUUACUUUAUCCAAAUACGAAUUCCCAGAAUAUUAAUAAGUCUGGUUUUGAUUAUGUAAGGGUUUGAUAACAGGAAUAAUAUAAGGUGGCAAAUUAUUUCACCAAAACAAUGGCUGAUUAAACAUCUUUACAUGUAGGUUUUAUUGAAUUAAUUUCCCUACAAAUGGAAAACAUGCAAAUUUGCCAAUUAAGUCAUUUGCCCAUGGAGAGCCGGGCUGCUUGACGUUCAGCUGCCACGGCUCCUUUAGUCUGAAAACCCUUUUUAGUUUUUGUUAAGAGUUAAGUCUCCAACAAAGACAGGAAGGAGGUCAGCACUCAGCCAACACCUGAAUGCGCCUCUUUUUUUGUGCUCCCCUUGAUCCCCACAGUCUGUGCCUGUCAUUAGUCUUAAUGAUGGAAAAUUGUCAUGUUGAUACAAGUCUUGCUCUCCCCCUCUCUUCUUUGUAUAAGUAGAAGGUGGAAGCUCCAUUUGUAACAAAGUUCUUUGUGACUAAAAGCCGUGGACAUUGCAUUUGUGCCGGGGGAGAAAAAAGGCUUUAGAUGCUCUUUCCAUAGCUGGGAUAAUUAUUCCUACUGUGACCUUAAUGAUUCACUCUGUUCAUCCUGCAUCUCAUCCACGCGCCAGGCCCUCAGCGGAGCCCUGUGUCAGGGAAUAUGAAAAACCCAUAUAAUGAAACCAUUUUGGUUGAUGGAAAAAAGGGGCUACUGAAGCCGCACUUGCUACAAAGACGGCUCAAUUAUAUGAGUAAUUGUGAUAAUUUCCCCUCCAUUCACGGCUUUCUCUGAAAGGUAAAAAACACAGAUGCUGAAAGGGAAAUUACUUGGACAAUAUAUAAUCUGUGAAAUGGUCACAACAGAAAAAAAAAGAUGACUGUAAGAAAGUGAAGGAUUAUAAAUAGGCAUGUUAAUGCAGGGCACAUAAAUACACCCUCACAAGCUCGCACACGUAAACAAACAGCACUGCUCUGCACAAGGCAAAAAACUGACCAAAAAAAAAACCCAGAUAAGAGUAGAUGUGCAGCUGCCAGAAAAUUAAACCUCCUUCUCCUUCCUAUCAACAAAUUUCAGCUCCUGAAACUGCACCCCCAUAGUUGACUAUCAUUUGUUAUUCCCUGACAGGAAAAGGAUAAUUACCUCUCUAAGAGGCAGGAGGACUGACAUGCCCUUUAGACUUUGCCAUGAAUGCAGAGGCUUUGAUAGAAAGCUUGAGGAAUAAUUUUGUUCUUUGCCUUUCCUUUAUGUUCAAGAGCACAUUUUUAUUUGUGGGGGUGACAGAACAGUGAGUGCAUUAAAGCCAGAGGCUUAAUACUGUACGCUUCACACCCUUGUUUCUGUUGGCAUUGAUUUUUAGAGGGAAAAUCUUGUACAUUCAGUUAGAUUUUAUAAUAAUCUUGAGAUGAGAUCAUAAGAAAUGAUGUACGCUUUGGUUUCAGGGUGCAUAUUGAUUUAAACUUUAAGGAAAAAAGCCGUUUUCCUCAAUUUUGUGCAUGAAAAUAUAAUUUUUUUACAGGUUUUUAAGAGUUUGAAUAAAUAUAAACACAGAU